CCUACGGGGCGCAGCAGUGAGGAAUAUUGGUCAAUGGGCUAAGGCCUGAACCAGCCAAGUCGCGUGAGGGAAGACGGUCCUAUGGAUUGUAAACCUCUUUUGUCGGGGAGCAACGAGGCCACGUGUGGCCGAAGUGAGAGUACCCGAAGAAAAAGCAUCGGCUAACCCCGUGCCAGCAGCCGCGGUAAUACGGAGGAUGCGAGCGUUAUCCGGAUUUAUUGGGUUUAAAGGGUGCGCAGGCGGCAUGUCAAGUCAGCGGUAAAGUUUCGGGGCUCAACUCCGACGUGCCGUUGAAACUGGCGUUC
rnacentral:rRNA from 1 species